CACAGCAGGUAAUAAAGAAGCUAGGCAUGUGUCCUGACGGCUGAUGAAUACAAUCUGCUAGACAAUGUGUCUUUUGAGAAGAGAAAUUAAAAGAGCCUCACCACCCUCAAUGACGUGUCUCUUUGGGUUUGGCUGGUAAAAAGCAAUAAGCUUAUGUGAAUUGAAAGGCAGGCAGGAAACAGGAGGUUUCAGCUGGAGGAGCGGCGGUCCAUAAAGACCUGGCAGGAGGGAAGAGCAGGUUGCCAUGGAAUGAAGGAACUAUGGCGGGGAUUGAGGGAAACCAGUCCUGACGUGCAGGAGGAUUCCAGGCCCAAUCUUACUGGAUAUGAGCCUAGCUUCGGACAGGAGGGUAGCUACUUCUGCAAGUGUCUUCUCUACACUAAGCUCUUCCCACCCAAACGGAGCUCACCGCCCCCCUUGUGUACUCUUCGGCACGUCUUCACCAGAACACUCGAUACAUUGCCAAAUCAUUGUCUGUUUAGACGAGAGUCUUGACGGCAGGGACUCUUGUUCACUUCUGUUCUCCCAUUGUGAGUAGCAUAAUGCCUGAAAUACCGUAAGUGCUGAAGAAAGGUUUGCGGGGUUGAUUAAUUAUUGAACUCUGAAUAAACAAUGGUCAUUUCGAGGACUAUGUUCUCUGGAGACUCUUUUGCUUUUGAUCCAUGGAUUCCCUCAUGUACGGCCUGAACGGUCUGAGAGAUAAGAUACCAGCGCUGUUUCAGAGCCUCUCAGCGGCCGCCUUAGGGGCUGGAUUUAUUGCCUUCUUGAGUGAAAUGUUGGCCUUCAAUUUUGCUGAGCUGUCAAGAGGUGAUUUUAGGUGUGUGGCUGUUGAUUGUCCCACAAGCUAACUUUUUAAGUCAAAAAUACCACCCAGCACUGAAAUGGAGGUUGGUUAUGAGGUGUUAACAGGACCUCUGGGCCACCAAAGAAAAAGGGCUGGGGAAGCCAAGAGAAACACCCUGCUCCCAAUUUUAAAAUGAAAUUAGUAAAAUAAAGAAAUAAAAUGAAAUAGUAAAAUAAAGGAAGAAAUUUGAAACUAUAAAAAAUUUAAAGCUUUUAGUGAAAAAAAAAGGAGGGGGGUGAUGGUUAACAGAGCAGGAUUUGAAAUCAAACAAACUAGUUUAAAAUUCUGAUUCCUCAUUGCCUUUGCUCUACAGCGCAAGUUCCUGACCAUGAGCCUCGCUGUCUUGUCUGUAAAGUGGUGCUGGUGUCUGCCUCUUAGGUAAGCAUUAGCUAAUGCAUGUGAAGUAUCUAAAACCACUCCAAUUAUAUAGCAAAGGCU
rnacentral:lncRNA from 10 species